GGAAUCAGUUGACACGGCUUCUGAGGACUCAGGUCAUCAGGUUUGCCUAUCAAGCCGUGUUAUUCACUGAGCCACCCGGCUGGCCCAAAGCCCUGACAGAAGCAGGGAGAGCUACUGAGAUGUUGAACCAGCUCACCUACCAGGUUUGACCAUUCUACCAUCACACCCUGUAUGUGCUGGAGUGAUGGAACACACUGAGAAAGAGCGUUCCGGUUCCUGGGGAUUCCAAGGGCUGUUUAGGCCUGGAGCAGCGAAGCUUCCAUUCGCAGGGAGGUUCUCCCCGCACCCGAGGUUCCUCAGGCCGAUGACAUCAUUCCGAUCCCAGGAGCGCUGCGAUUUUUUUCAAUUUGGAAUUCCGGCUCCUUCGAACUCUAGCUCCUUAAGGAGACCGCGAUAUCACGACGGGCCCACAGCGAGGGCUCUUCAGAAGACCCCAGCAAUCAGCAGGGCGCCCCGGAAAAGGCAAGGUGCUGGU